CUCUGCUAUUCACUCAUUAGGUAAACAAAAAAAUCAAAAUCAAAAUUUGUAAGUUUUCAUCUCCGCCCUUCAUUUCCCAUUCCUUUUUUUUUUUUUUUUUUAAAAAUUUCUGAAAAAAGAAAGGAAAAAAGGAAGAAGAGGAUGUUCCAUUUCCUUCAUUACAGAAAGCUCCUCCAAAUCAACAUUCAAACACUCCAAAUCCAAUCCCUACAAAAUCCAUUUCUAAAAUCCCAUUCCCAAACAAACCCUCCUUCUCCUUUCAUACAAUACCUCAAAAACUCAUGUGGGUUCUCACCAGAAAAGGCUCUAACAGUCUCUAAAAUGCUAAAACGCACCCCCAAGAACCCAGAUUCUGUCCUCACCUUCUUCAAAUCUCAUGGGUUCUCAGAAGCUCACAUCAAAUCCAUCAUCAACAGAGUCCCGCAACUCCUCUUCGCCAUCCCCAAGUCCAGCUUAAGUCCCAAGAUCCAAUUCUUCAUAGAGAAGGGCCUCUCCGAAUCCGAUGUCGUGGCACUCAUAGUUUCAAAUCCCCACAUCUUGGCCCCCAGCCUUGAUAGAAGUAUAAAACCCGUGUUUGAUUUCAUCCGCAGCUAUUUGGGCACUGACAGAUUUGUGAUUGAAUUGCUCAAGCGGUCCAAGUUGACAUUUAAUCUCCGUAACUUAGUGAGCAAUGUCGCCGUUUUGAAGAACUAUGGCAUCCCGAAUUGUCACAUUUCAAUAUGUCUUGCGAAACAUCCAAUGGCGUUGUUGCUAAACCCUGAUCGGUUUAAUGAGAAGGUGAAGAUGGUUACAGAAAUGGGGUUCAAUCCAUCAACAUUUAUGUUCGUGGAGGCGGUCCGUGUGAUGGUAAGUCUAAGCCGUUCGAUGUGGGACAUGAAAUUCGAGGUGUAUAGGAGCUUGGGGUGGUCUGAUGAGGAGAUAUUGAUUGCCUUCCGGAAGCACCCGAACUGUAUUAUGAUAUCGGAGGAGAAGAUUAGGAAGGGGAUAGAUUUCUUUGUCAAGGAGUUAGGUUGGAGUACUUCUUACAUUUUGAGCUAUCCGGUCCUUCUCUCGCUUAGCAUGGAGAAAAGAGUCAUGCCCAGGUAUAGGUUUCUGCAAGUUUUGGAGUCAAAGGGCCUAAUUAGUAAUGAUGAGAAGAAGUUAGCGUGGAGUUUUAAUAUGAGCCGGAAGCAGUUCUUGGAGAAGUAUGUGAUGAAGCACCAGGCAAAGGUUCCAGAGAUAUUGAAGGUUUAUGAGGCCAUGAUCGAAUCAAAGGGACUGAGUAUCAAGGAUGGAAAAGAGUAAAUUUCAACCUUUUAUUGAGGUUGUGUUUGGUUCCGGAGAUAUUGAAGGUUUAUGAGGUCAUGAUCGAAUCAAAGGCACUGAGUAUCAAGGAUGGAGAAAAGUGUGAGCAGACAUCUUCAAAGCUUGCAGAAGGCUUCUCAUGAUUCUUGGCUCGCCGGGAGGUGGUUGGUCUUUCAAGGGUCCGUUCCUCACUGCCUGAAAGAAUGGUCCAGAUUCUUUGGUUUCAGCAAAGACCAAACAGUCAAUGUACACACAUACCUCAGUCAUCCCAUCUUCCACCUUGAUGAAUCCCAGUCUCACUCCACCUUUGAUUUUAUCGACCUUCAACGGCACAGGAAGCGGCAGAUUCGCUCCCUGACAUAGGCUGUUGGCCCACUGGAAGAGCAAUGUCUCGAAUCUCCCCACGUCAGUGUCCGGUGGGAGCUUCAUGGUGCCUAGAGAAACGCCUUCGCUGUCGUCUUCGGGCCCCACAAUGUUGUCAUUUCUCACCGACGAGGCCUUUGGUGGUGCAGUCGCCGGAAUUCGACGGUUGGAUAAUGUGCACAGGUUAGAGAAUGGGCCCUUGUGGGUGUUGCAGACUGAGGUGAAGUUGAGGUGGGGUGAAGGGAGGGAGACUGGCACGUGCAAGGUGGCACGUGUGAAGUGGAGGAGUUGCCUUGCAGCAGCCAUGGCUUGUGAGAAAACAAAAGUGGAAAACUGAGGUAUUUUGUUUAUGUGA